rnacentral:rRNA from 1 species
GACGAACGCUGGCGGCGUGCUUAACACAUGCAAGUCGAACGGUAAGGCCCUUCGGGGUACACGAGUGGCGAACGGGUGAGUAACACGUGGGUGAUCUGCCCUGCACUUCGGGAUAAGCCUGGGAAACUGGGUCUAAUACCGGAUAGGACCACUGCCUGCAUGGGUGGUGGUGGAAAGCUUUUGCGGUGUGGGAUGGGCCCGCGGGCCUAUCAGCUUGUUGGUGGGGUGAUGGCCUACCAAGGCGACGACGGGUAGCCGGCCUGAGAGGGUGACCUGCCACACUGGGACUGAGAUACGGCCCAGACUCCUACGGGAGGCAGCAGUGGGGAAUAUUGCACAAUGGGCGCAAGCCUGAUGCAGCGACGCCGCGUGGGGGAUGACGGCCUUCGGGUUGUAAACCUCUUUCAGCACCGACGAAGCGCAAGUGACGGUAGGUGCAGAAGAAGGACCGGCCAACUACGUGCCAGCCGCCGCCGUAA